GGAGCGGUAGUUCAGUUGGUUAGAAUACCGGCCUGUCACGCCCGGGGGUCGCGGGUUCGAGUCCCGUCCGCUCCGCCA
rnacentral:tRNA from 1 species